rnacentral:lncRNA from 1 species
CCAAGGCCGCCUAGCUGCUGCCACCUCUGAGAAAGCCUCUUGUGUUGGAAGGACUCGACUUAGGAUCUUGCACAAGCAAAUGGACAGUGGAUUACCUGAGUCAAGUCGGAGGGACGAAAGAGGUGAAGAUUCACGUCGCUGCAGUCGCGCAGAUGGACUUCAUUAAACUUUACCUUUUAACAAGCUGGUCCAGAGAGCGGCCGAAGAAACACAUAAAGAGUUCUUAAGCUGGUGAUGUCCUGUUCAUUCCUGCUUUAUGGUUCCAUAAUGUAGUUUCUGAAGAGUUUGGAGUGGGGGUGAAUGUCUUCCUGAAGCACCUUCCAUCGGAAUGCUAUGACACAACAGACACCUAUGGCAACAAAGAUCCUGUGGCAGCAUCCAGAGCCAUGCAGAUCUUGGACAGAGCUUUGAAAACACUGGCUGAGUUACCAGAGGAAUACAGGGACUUCUAUGCGCGCCAAAUGGUCUUACGUAUUCAAGACAAAGCCUACAGCAAGAACUCUGAGUGAAAAAUAAACUAAAUGUAGC